UACGUAGGGUGCAAGCGUUGUCCGGAAUUACUGGGCGUAAAGGGCGCGUAGGCGGCGCAACAAGUCACUUGUGAAAUCUCCGGGCUUAACCCGGAGCGGCCAAGUGAUACUGUCGUGCUAGAGUGCGGAAGGGGCUACUGGAAUUCUCGGUGUAGCGGUGAAAUGCGUAGAUAUCGUCUGGAACGCCAAAGGUGAAAACAGACUGCUGGGAGUGUGCUGACGCUGAGACACGAAAGCCAGGGAGCAAACGGG
rnacentral:rRNA from 1 species